GACGAACGCUGGCGGCGUGCUUAACACAUGCAAGUCGAACGGAAAGGCCCUGCUUUUGUUGGGUGCUCGAGUGGCGAACGGGUGUGUUACACGUGAGUAACCUGCCCUUGACUGUGGGAUAACUUCAGGAAACUGUGGCUAAUACCGGCUAGGAGCUCCUGCUGCAUGGGGGGGGUUGGAAAGCUUCGGCGGUUGGGGAUGGACUCGCGGCUUAUCAGCUUGUUGGUGGGGUAGUGGCUUACCAAGGCUUUGACGGGUAGCCGGCCUGAGAGGGUGACCGGCCACAUUGGGACUGAGAUACGGCCCAGACUCCUACGGGAGGCAGCAGUGGGGAAUAUUGCACAAUGGGCGGAAGCCUGAUGCAGCAACGCCGCGUGCGAGAUGACGGCCUUCGGGUUGUAAACCGCUUUCGCCUGUGACGAAGCGUGAGUGACGGUAAUGGGUAAAGAAGCACCGGCUAACUACGUG
rnacentral:rRNA from 1 species